GGACUAAAUAUUGUAUGAUGUUAGCAAUUGGCCUGUUCUAACUAUAUGACAUAAUAGCAAUAUGAAAACCACAAGGAGGAAUAACAUCUAACACGACAUCCAAGAAGGCAUCAUGUAAGGAUAAAGAAGCUGAGGUUUGAGAACCAACGUGGACAGCAAAAUUCACAUAAUUUUCAAUAAACAAAUUGUGUCCCUUGACUCAAAUGAGCAGUGUUAUCUUCUGAGUUCAUGCACAAAAAUGUCUGUUUGUGGAGGAUUUUCCAUCCAAUGUGCAUUGCAAGGAUAUCUUUUAUCUUCCCAUGACUAACAUAAGGGCUAGGCAUCACUUGUGUUGGGUGUGCAUCACUUUUCUUAGGUGUGCUACUAGAAGCAUAUAAGAUGACUACACAAAGAAAAGGUGGAUGGCAGAUGUAGAGCCACAUCAAAGUUUCUAAAAGAUGUCAUUGCUUCUCGCAAAUCAGAUAGACUAGAUUGGAUUUCUUCAUGGAAAAUCAUCAAAGAAUAUUUAUGGUGGGAAAGAGAUACCAAUGCAUGAGGAUCCAAAAACCCGUUAAACCAAUCCUUUUCUGUUCACUCUUACUCUUCUUUAUCUUAGCAUGUCUCUCCAUUCAACAUCGUCAAGCUUCAUAAUCUCAACCUGAAAAUGUUCUGUCAUAUUGAUACUUUAAACUUAAGCUAAGCAGAUCCCAUCUAGUGCCCCCCUNNNNNNNNNNNNNNNNNNNNNNNNNNNNNNNNNNNNNNNNNNNNNNGAUCCCAGGAAUCAUGUAUCCCUUAACUCCCUUAUUAGUCUAGUGCUGUCCAUGGACCUAGGUCCGACACAAGUUUGAUAGAGUAAGACAGGAUCUCAAAAAUUGGACUAAAUUUUUUAUAGGGUCCAUGAUGGAGAUAAAAGACCACCAACAUACUAAAUGCUUAGGCAUUCAAAGAGCCAAGCUCACAGAAGGCCUGAAAUAUUAAAAAGUAGCCAAAUUAACAAAGUUCAAGAAGGCUUGUAAUAUGGUGUAACUUGGUAUGGCUUGUAAUAUGGUGUAACAUUAUCCUGACAUCAGCUAGUAUUUCACUCAUAAGUUUUUUGGCAAAUUAUGUUUAGAAUUGUCUCUUAGAAUGCACUAAAGAAUUUAGUCAAUUGCUAAAUGCUUCAAUUAAAAGCUUGUAGAUCUAUGAAUUGAGAGAGAAAAAGUAGGAUUGUCUUUUUUUCCUUCUUUUCCCUUUAGUGAUUAACCUUGCACCAUAGUAAUUGUAUUCUGCUCCUGCUUUUUUAGAAAACUUAGACAUGUUAUAAUCCUUCCAAAUUAUGGAAAAGCAUAGAUCAAAAGGGUUGACAAUGGUGUUCUUAAUAGACCAUUAUCUCUCAUAAAUUCCUGAUCUGAAAUUUUGAAUUUAUGUUCUGGUUAUCUUUGGCAAUUCAUAGAAAAUCCCAUGUAAUUAUCUUCCUAACCUUGGUCAUGACCUCGACCAAUGACCUUAUCCUUUCUCCUUCCCUUAUUUGACAAAACUAAUCAAACUCAGGUCUAAUCUUCAAGUAAAUCAGAUUGCCAUAUUUAUUUAACAAUAAUUGACAGCAAAGCAUGCCUAACUCAUAUCAUGAAUGUUUGUUAUGAAAAGCCAUUAUGAAGAAGUGCUGCAAGAACAUCACCUCUUGUAAUCCCCAAUUUCAGACUAUCUCCCAAAAAAAAACCCUUCCAGGUCACGAUUCCUUUUUGGCAAGCCAUUAAUUCUUUUAAUUUUUUAAAUCUGAAGUUCUAAAUAAAAGAAAUCAUGGGAGACCCAGUGUAAUUAUGACAUUCUUCUUCUUGAUACCGUACUCAAUUAGAACUAUACACCUCUCCUUCCUUUAUCUUUCUCAAUCUGAUACAAAAAGUUAUUCGCCCUCCUUUUCCUUCCUAGAAGUCAUAUUCAGCCGAAAGAAUCAUGAUCGAAACCGUUCAAAUUGCAGCAAAGUAACAUAUCCCAUCACCCAAAACGAGUUACAGUUCCAAACAAACACCUCAACAUAAUCCGUACACCCUAUUCCCAAAAGAAAAAGAAAACAAAAAAGGGAUCUUUUUCACUUCAUCAGUAAACUGCGGUACAUCUAUCUGGUUGACCAAUAUUUCAACUUCGAAUUCCAGACUCAGCAUACGAAAUUAUUCAAUUUUGGAUAUCAAGAACGGCGUACAAAGAUGUAAAAGAGACAUCAAACUCGGAAUAAAACUAAAUCGAAUUUCACAAGGAUUACAGAGGGAUUGAGGGGAUAAAAUUUUGGGGAACGAGGACAAUAAUUAAAUAUAAGAAUAGGAAUGGGGACAAAGCGUACCUGCUGGAUGAUGCGGCGCUUGUUGUGGCCGGCGGCGAGGUCAUCAAGGUUGACGAUACGCUUGAUGUUGGCCUGCAUGUCGCGGACCAUCUUGAACUGGACAUCAGCCUGCAGCAGCGCCCGCGAGAUCUCGUUCAGGCACUCGCUCAGCACCUUCUCAUCGAUGAUCGUCGCGUUGCUCAUAUGCUGCAACGCCCGGGAGAUGCUCCCGCCCAGCUGCGCGAGAACCAUCUUUGCCCACCUCUGGAGCUCGGAUUUGGGUUUUUUCUUUUCCGAUCGGAGUUUCGAAGGAGGAUGCCUGAGGGGAGGCGGAGGAACGUGGGAAGCAGGAAGGGUGGGGGGCUUCGGAGCGCUGCUCGCUUACACGCAAAUAAUUGUCACGUGCGAUGCGCGUGAUUAUUAUGAUUAGAGUGUACCUCUCUUAUUUAUUGCCGACUUGCAGCUGUAGUCCGUUUUUGGUCCCUGGCGAACUCUAAAUUACAUUAAUGCAGCUUGCCCGCACUUUUAUCAAACAUAAAUUACUAAAUGCUGCGCAAACAAUGAGAUAUUAUUAUAUUUUACAAAUUUAGAUGAAUAACGUAUGAUGGGUGUUAUAUACGAGUCAUGAUGGUGUAGAUUUUCUUUUUGCCUUGCAUGUAUUUAUGUCUAUUUUGGUGGAAGGUAGGAGGAAAAGAAAGAUGAGGUUAAAAAUAUAAUUAAAGAUAGAGUAAAAUCAACAAUAUAAUAAUAUAUUAUUAAUAUAAUUUUAUAUAUAUAUAUAUAUAUGUAUGUAUGUAUGUAUGUAUAUUACUCUUUAUAUUAGUGUUAACUAUCCUCGUUAUAUUAGUUUGCAUUUGAUUUUUAAACUAUAAGAACCAUAUAAGAAAAUUUUUGAAACUUGAAGGACCAAAAAUACAAUUUAUAGUACAUGGAUGAUGAUGUGACAUACCGGUGAUGAUGUGGCACUCAGUAAUCAAACACUUUUAGAUAAAAAAUUUCACCGUAUGUGCCACAUCAUCAUUCAUAUGCCAUAUCAUUAUCCAUAUGCCACAUCAUCAAUCGGCCGAAUAAUCAUCUAUCUAACUAGUUUCUGCCAUAUAAUCAGUUACGUAAUCACCUAUUAAUGCCAAUAGGGACUUCUAAUAAGGGAAAGUAGCCAGAAUCCAAGGAAGGACAAUAAUAAAAUAGUUGAGAAAAAAUACAGACCAAAUUUGAACUUUUAAAAGUUUAAGAAUUUAUUAAAACCUAUAAAUUUGGAGGACCAAAAGUAUAAUCAAGCCUAAAUGUCAUAAAAAAUGGCUGGAACCUUGAUCUUCUAGUUAUAAGCUACCCAAGUACCACAAUCCACCAAGCUAAGUUGAGUGAGGCAGCUCCACCCACACGACCCAACUUGGAAAUGAACCAUCAGAAGCCAGAUUCAAGAUCAUAUUCUGUAGCAAAAGCAUCACAUCUACCUACUCUCUUCACUGCACCACUAUUUGCUUCUAUGUAAANNNNNNNNNNNNNNNNNNNNNNNNNNNNNNNNNNNNNNNNNNNNNNNNNNNNNNNNAACCUCAGCUCCUUGGUUCCUUUGACAGUCUUUACUCCAAUUAUUACAUGACUAAUGGCCAGGGCCGGCCCAACCCUUAGGCAACUGAGGCGGUCGCCUAAGGCCCCGGCCCAAAGAAGGCCCACCGCAGGAAAUGCCUCAAAGAUAAAAUGGAAAAAAAAGGCCCCCUGUGAAUUCGCCUUAGGCCGGCCCACUGUAGGAAAGGCCUCAAACACAAA
rnacentral:lncRNA from 1 species